rnacentral:rRNA from 1 species
AUCGAACGCUGGCGGCAGGCCUAACACAUGCAAGUCGAGCGAGCGGCGGACGGGUGAGUAAUGUAUGGGGACUGCCCGAUAGAGGGGGAUAACUACUGGAAACGGUGGCUACUACCGCAUACUAUCGGAUAACCCAUAUGGGAUUAGCUAGUAGGUGGGGUAAAGGCUCACCUAGGCGACGAUCUCUAGCUGGUCUGCGAGGGUGAUCGGCCACACGGGGACUGAGACACGGCCCAGACUCCUACGGAGGCAGCAGUGGGGAAUAUUGGGCAAUGGGCGCAAGCCUGAUGCAGCCAUGCCGCGUGUAUGAAGAAGGCCUUAGGGUUGUAAAGUUCUUUCAGCGGAGAGGCGUUACCCGCAGAGGAAGCACCGGCUAACUCCGUGCCAGCCGCCGCGGUAAUAC